UUUCCCAAUCUCAAUUAAUUCU
rnacentral:siRNA from 1 species